CUGUGGACAAUUAUUUGCACCUGAAGCAGAAACCUACUAGAUGAUCUGAGAAAAUCUGAGAAUGAUCUGAGAAAAUCUUCAUAAUUUCAAAGCAUUGCAUUUUUUUGUGCCACAUUCUGCAAAACUGUGGAAGAUCUGUGGAAGAUGUAUUGUCAUAGUGUAGUAAUUAGCCUGAAGAAAAUCUCCGGAGUCUGGUUAACUACAUAUGGAGGCCUCUCUUUUUUGGUUAUAUCAUGCUUCUGCCAUGCAAAUGGUUCACUCAUGUAACAACAUUUCAUUGGAAGAAGAGAGCUGAUCAACAGAGCUGAUGCCGUUUCUGAUUGUCAUUCAUUAAAGUCUCAAAAUCAAAAAAUCAGUUAUUUUGUUUGAAAAGUAAAGACAUUUUAGUAAAGACUAGACACUAUGACAAAGCACUGUGUUCCAAGAAACAUGAAUAAUUUUGGUGUCUGUGUAUUGUACUGAUUAAUGGGUGAACUAAAAAAAAAUAUUUAAAAAAAAAUCACUAGCAAUGAAGCGUAUAGUUUUGAAGUGUAUAGUUUUUACAUUAUGACAGUCCUCAAAAAACAGCUGAGGACACAGCUGACGUAUGCUGCAAACUGUUGACUUGCUCUUCCAGCAAGCUGUUUUGAAAACUUGGCUUCAGACUGGUGGUUCAUUUGAAAAGUCUUGAACCAUGUCUCAGAAUUUAUGUUCUCCUUUCCCAUCACGUUUACCACUGGUGUUACUCCUCUUGACUCAACAAGCUAGGUAAUGUUGCAGAUGUGAAUAUUAUUCCAGAGGAAAAGGGGAACAGAUGGUGGGUUUACAUCAUCCUUUUCAUUAACAGAAAAUGUACAAAGUCUUGUUUCUUCAGAUAUAGGAUUAUCAAAACAUGAAGCAUAGUCCUUUGGCUUACAGUUCCAUCUGCCCUCAGCUUUGAAUAUAUGUUAUUAAACUAUAUUUCAGUGCUGUUCUCUGAGUGCUUUUUCAGGCUAUAAGUUGUGAUUGUUUCAGUUUCUCUAUUCUUUCCUGCUUUGAACAGCCAAAACUCAAAAAAAAAAAAAACACCAAACCAAAACAAACAAACAAAAAAACACACUGUUGCAUUAUUGCAUUCAUUGCUUAGCCUGCUUUGGUGUUUUGGGGAGGAAAUUAUGCUUGGGAUUGAGUAAAAGAAUGUUAUAAUUUCUAGAAAUAAAUUCUACAACAAAACUGGAAAUUAAACUUUC
rnacentral:lncRNA from 1 species